GAGGGAAUAUUGCGCAAUGGGGGAAACCCUGACGCAGCGAUGCCGCGUGAGUGAAGAAGGCCUUAGGGUUGUAAAACUCUUUCACCGGUGAAGAUAAUGACGGUAACCGGGGAAGAAGCUCCGGCUAACUCCGUGCCAGCAGCCGCGGUAAUACGGAGGGGGCUAACGUUGUUCGGAAUUACUGGGCGUAAAGCGCGCGUAGGCGGAUUCGAUAGUUGAGGGUGAAAUCCCGGAGCUUAACUCCGGAACUGCCUUCAAAACUUCGGGUCUCGAGUUCGGAAGAGGUGAGUGGAAUUCCUAGUGUAGAGGUGAAAUUCGUAGAUAUUAGGAAGAACAUCAGAGGCGAAGGCGGCUCACUGGUCCGAUACUGACGCUGAGGUGCGAAAGCGUGGGGAGCAAACAGG
rnacentral:rRNA from 1 species